rnacentral:rRNA from 1 species
GACGAACGCUGGCGGCGUGCCUAAUACAUGCAAGUUGAGCGCUGAAGGUUGGUCCUUGUACCAACUGGAUGAGCAGCGAACGGGUGAGUAACGCGUGGGGAAUCUGCCUUUGAGCGGGGGACAACAUUUGGAAACGAAUGCUAAUACCGCAUAAAAACUUUAAACACAAGUUUUAAGUUUGAAAGAUGCAAUUGCAUCACCCAAAGAUGAUCCCGCGUUGUAUUAGCUAGUUGGUGAGGUAAAGGCUCACCAAGGCGAUGAUACAUAGCCGACCUGAGAGGGUGAUCGGCCACAUUGGGACUGAGACACGGCCCAAACUCCUACGGGAGGCAGCAGUAGGGAAUCUUCGGCAAUGGACGAAAGUCUGACCGAGCAACGCCGCGGGAGUGAAGAAGGUUGUCGGAUCGUAAAACUCUGUUGGUAGAGAAGAACGUUGGUGAGAGUGGAAAGCUCAUCAAGUGACGGUAACUACACAGAAAGGGACGGCUAACUACGUG